rnacentral:rRNA from 1 species
GAGCGGAUGACGGGAGCUUGCUCCUUGAUUCAGCGGCGGACGGGUGAGUAAUGCCUAGGAAUCUGCCUGGUAGUGGGGGACAACGUUCCGAAAGGAGCGCUAAUACCGCAUACGUCCUACGGGAGAAAGUGGGGGAUCUUCGGACCUCACGCUAUCAGAUGAGCCUAGGUCGGAUUAGCUAGUUGGUGAGGUAAAGGCUCACCAAGGCGACGAUCCGUAACUGGUCUGAGAGGAUGAUCAGUCACACUGGAACUGAGACACGGUCCAGACUCCUACGGGAGGCAGCAGUGGGGAAUAUUGGACAAUGGGCGAAAGCCUGAUCCAGCCAUGCCGCGUGUGUGAAGAAGGUCUUCGGAUUGUAAAGCACUUUAAGUUGGGAGGAAGGGCAGUAAGUUAAUACCUUGCUGUUUUGACGUUACCGACAGAAUAAGCACCGGCUAACUCUGUGCCAGCAGCCGCGGUAAUACAGAGGGUGCAAGCGUUAAUCGGAAUUACUGGGCGUAAAGCGCGCGUAGGUGGUUCGUUAAGUUGGAUGUGAAAGCCCCGGGCUCAACCUGGGAACUGCAUCCAAAACUGGCGAGCUAGAGUAUGGUAGAGGGUGGUGGAAUUUCCUGUGUAGCGGUGAAAUGCGUAGAUAUAGGAAGGAACACCAGUGGCGAAGGCGACCACCUGGACUGAUACUGACACUGAGGUGCGAAAGCGUGAGGAGCAAACAGGAUUAGAUACCCUGGUAGUCCACGCCGUAAACGAUGUCAACUAGCCGUUGGAAUCCUUGAGAUUUUAGUGGCGCAGCUAACGCAUUAAGUUGACCGCCUGGGGAGUACGGCCGCAAGGUUAAAACUCAAAUGAAUUGACGGGGGCCCGCACAAGCGGUGGAGCAUGUG